rnacentral:rRNA from 1 species
GUGGGGAAUAUUGCACAAUGGGGGAAACCCUGAUGCAGCGACGCCGCGUGGAGGAAGAAGGUCUUCGGAUUGUAAACUCCUGUUGUUGAGGAAGAUAAUGACGGUACUCAACAAGGAAGUGACGGCUAACUACGUGCCAGCAGCCGCGGUAAAACGUAGGUCACAAGCGUUGUCCGGAAUUACUGGGUGUAAAGGGAGCGCAGGCGGGAAGACAAGUUGGAAGUGAAAUCUAUGGGCUCAACCCAUAAACUGCUUUCAAAACUGUUUUUCUUGAGUAGUGCAGAGGUAGGCGGAAUUCCCGGUGUAGCGGUGGAAUGCGUAGAUAUCGGGAGGAACACCAGUGGCGAAGGCGGCCUACUGGGCACCAACUGACGCUGAGGCUCGAAAGUGUGGGUAGCAAACAGGAUUAGAUACCCCGGUAGUCC